rnacentral:rRNA from 1 species
CAAUGGCACUGCCCGGUAGCUAAAUGCGGAAGAGAUAAGUGCUGAAAGCAUCUAAGCACGAAACUUGCCCCGAGAUGAGUUCUCCCUGAGACUUAGAGUCUCCUGAAGGAACGUUGAAGACGACGACGUUGAUAGGCCGGGUGUGUAAGCGCAGCGAUGCGUUGAGCUAACCGGUACUAAUGAACCGUGAGGCUUAACCUU